AUCUUCUGACCAUUUUCAAUAACAUUCUUUUAUUCUUAUUUUUACAUUUCAGCUAAUAAUUGUACCGAUACCUCCGAUUGCUCAAGUAAUCAUUGUUCCUAUGAGGGGGUGUCAUUAUGCAUGAAUGGUCAAUGUAUAUGCAUUUACGAGUAAAGUCGGAAACUAAUUCUAUUACAUAUAAGCUUACAAUUUUACUUAUAUGUCAAAGUGAAUGUUGUUACUCUUAUGGUUUCUCUCACACUUUGAGUUAUAUUUUUGACCUUUCAAUUUCUUUUCCAGAACAAGCAGAAGAAGACAAUAAAAAUGUUUUAGUCACAAAUAUGUAAUAAAUAUAUGCAUUGUAAAUUCUAUUACGUACUUAUUACAAUACUUUAUUACUAACGGAAAGACCAACAAUAAUGUGUUGUUCUAUCCACUUUUUCUAUUGUGCUUAAAGACCAACAAUACUUUAUUACUAACGGAAAGACCAACAAUAAUGUGUUCUAUUAUAUAUUAGCUUCAUAAAUGUCUCCUUAUUAUUUAUGUUUAAUAUUAGUCUUGCACUUUUAUUUUUAC
rnacentral:lncRNA from 1 species